UAUUUUACUUUAUGUUAAUGAUAUGAAAAUACAACCAACAACAAAUACCUAGUUGGCCCGCCUGCUUGGCAUAAAAGGCAUGUGCAAAUGCAGAUCCUCACGUAAUGACCUACACGUCUUACUCCAGACUUUAACACAACAGCUCACAAUUUUUUUCUUCUCAACUACAAAACUUUUGUUUCUAUUAUACAUCGGCUUAUACAGUUAACUCAUCUGUAUGGAAUUAUCUCCAAACAGAUGACCUUUAAAUUAGUUUUUAAUAAGUUGAAAAUUCAGAGCUUCCCUUUGGAAAAGAACUUUGAGUUGAGAUUUUCAGCAUCUUUGAGGAAGUUGAGGAUGGAAGAUGCUCCAGUUGUUCACUGAACCUCCAGGAUUACAUAAAAAAAUUUGAAGGAAUUUGCUGUUGAAAGAAAAAUGGUUUUCACAAGGAUGGUUUUCACAAGCUGCAGGACACGCAGUACUGCUAACCCACGCAAAGCAAGAAAAAGAUGGGUGGGAACAUCAGUAAAAGAAUUAAUGAUUCUGAAGAGCUGCUGCUGUCUGCUUCAGCUGAAGACCAACAGCUUCCUCAGCAGUGUGUCGACGACCCGGUGCCUUUAAACUCUGUGGUCUUAUAUGAAGAUCUGGAUUUCCCAUUGAUCAAACAGCCACCAGGGUUUAUACCUGAGGCAGCGACACGCUCUGAAGACUGCAAUCCCUUGCCAAUACUUUAGCUGAACAGAAAGAGG